GCCAUGCGAGUCGAGAGUCAUUUGGACUCGGCGAACUGCUCAGUAACACGUGGCCAAACUACCCUGUGGAGAGGAAUAACCUCGGGAAACUGAGGAUAAGACCUCAUAGGAGCCGGACGCUGGAAUGCACCGGCUCCGAAACACUCCGGCGCCACAGGACGUGGCUGCGUCCGAUUAGGUUGACGGUGGGGUAAAGGCCCACCGUGCCAGUAAUCGGUACGGGUUGUGAGAGCAAGAGCCCGGAGAUGGACUCUGAGACACGAGUCCAGGCCCUACGGGGCGCAGCAGGCGCGAAACCUUUACACUGUACGAGAGUGCGUUAAGGGGAUCCCAAGUGCCCGCGCCUAGCGUGGGCUUUUCUGAACCGUAAAAUGGUUCAGGAACAAGGGCUGGGCAAGACCGGUGCCAGCCGCCGCGGUAACACCGGCAGCUCGAGUGAUGGCCGAUUUUAUUGGGCCUAAAGCGUCCGUAGCCUGCCGUACGGGUCCGUCGGGAAAUCCGCCCGCUCAACGGGCGGACGUCCGGCGGAAACCAUACGGCUUGGGACCAGAGGACCCGAGGGGUACGUCGGGGGUAGGAGUGAAGUCCCGAGAUCCUCGACGGACCGCCGGUGGCGAAAGCGCCUCGGGAAGAUGGAUCCGACGGUCAGGGACGAAAGCUUGGGUCUCGAACCGGAUUAGAUACCCGGGUAGUCCAAGCUGUAAACGAUGUUCGCUAGGUGUGGCGUAGGCUACGAGCCUGCGCUGUGCCAAAGGGAAGCCACGAAGCGAACCGCCUGGGAAGUACGUCUGCAAGGAUGA
rnacentral:rRNA from 1 species